GACCCAAUGGCACAAUAGGUAAUGCACUUGCUUUAAAUAGUUGGAUCCACAUGAAAGUUAGGCAAGAGAUCCCCGUUCAAUUCGGGGUUGGGUUG